UACGUAGGGUGCGAGCGUUACUCGGAAUUACUGGGCGUAAAGCGUGCGCAGGCGGUUUUGUAAGACAGAUGUGAAAUCCCCGGGCUUAACCUGGGAACUGCGUUUGUGACUGCAAGACUCGAGUACGGCAGAGGGGGGUGGAAUUCCACGUGUAGCAGUGAAAUGCGUAGAGAUGUGGAGGAACACCGAUGGCGAAGGCAGCCCCCUGGGUCGAUACUGACGCUGAGACGCGAAAGCGUGGGGAGCGAACAGG
rnacentral:rRNA from 1 species